UCGAAAUCUUGCCACCUAACCAAAAGCACACACUCGAGAGUACUCCACCACUUGAACGCUCUGCAAAGACUUUUAUUAGGAGCCACACACAUCAUGGCUUGGCAGCAUAAGUCAGGAGGAAGCAUCCACCCACGAGGGAUGAUUUUCUCAUUUCUCCUCCUUGUUGGCAAAUGGGGCACGGUCCCCAGUGUUUAGUGAUUUUUUUCUUUUCUUUCCUAUCCUGUGUGCAGAUGUGAGGCAGCAGCAGAUUUUUUUUUAACAAGAGUUCUUGCUAAUCUUUGGACGACAACUUCUUCGCUCCUCACAGCUGAUCUACCCUCAACCACAUCCCGCGCCUAGAUGGGUGCCCACCUGGGGCUGCUGUGUGGCUCUCCUUGGGCUCCUCGUGCACUGGGCAACAACACGGUGACACAGCAUAAAUCCGCCUCUGUUCAACCGGCUCGCUAAUUGUGUCAACUACCAAUGUAUGGUCAGAGUCUUGCACCCAGCAACAAGCACACCAUGAAUGGGAUGAUGAUCUGCCAGCAUCGCAUCAAUUUGGAAGACUCUGUGCGUACGAUCAGCCUCUGAUUCUUUCACCACGUCGUUUUUUUUCUCUCUCCCAUCUUCCAUUUCUCCUCACUUCCCCCCUCGUGCCACAGAUGGUCAGAUCGCUGGAACUUUCUGAUAAGUAUACAGACUCCACACACAAAAAAAACCCAUUCCGGGCUCAUAAAUCCAAAAAAAUCCCCUCCUGCCUUAGCAUAAAACAUAAGAAGAGAAGAACCUCUGAGAGGAAAAUGUAGCGCCAUUAAUUGAACAGGCCAUUUGAAAUUUAAAUUUGUGAAUUUAAAAUUUGAUGGCACUUUUCCACGCUAAAAAGAGAAAGACACGGUGGCUAUUUUUAGCCAAAAAAAAAAGCCAAAUCUCCUAAAUUAGCUCCAAAUUCAUCUCAAUAUAGAGAGAAGACAACUCCUCCCAAAAAUCUAUCUCAUCCUCCAUCUUCUCUUUGCAAUGUGAAUUAAUGAGAUUUCAGUGGCACACAAUAAUUUCACACACAAACUUGUCAUCCCAAUAUUUGAGCCACUCUCUUUGCCUGACAUUUUCAUCCACACAUAACACCAAAAGGAGGGGAAAUUCAAUUGCUGUGAGCAAACAUCACCAAGGGGAAGAAUAUUGCAUGAUGCGGUGUACCCGCGGUGUGCCAAAAACGCAAUAAGGCAGUUCAAAGACCUUCCUGGCCUCGAUUUUCUUCUUUUUCUUUCCUUCUAAUUUAUACACUAAGAUAUUUGAUUAUUUAAUUUUUUACGUGGUCGGUAUUUUAUUACGCGUUUAACCUAGAAAAUCUCAAUAGGAAUUAGAUAGUUUUUUUUUUGGGUGAUUUAUUCAUUUUUAAUCUCAUUUUGACAUUCUUAUUGCCAAUGGAUUUCUUUUUUUUUAUAAGUUUUCUUACAGAAAGAAAAAAGAUUUGCAUAAAAAAGAUAAAAGGUAUAAUCUCAAAUUUUAUUGAUAUUUUUUGAAAGGUUUAUUUGGUUUAUUUCAAAGUUAUGAAUGAAUAAAAAAAAUAUUCAAAAAUUUGGAAAGAUUAGAAAAGAGACUUAAAAGUCUUUUGAAGAUUUAUACUCGUGGUUUCAAUUUUUUUUUAAAUUUCAUUUUUUCUAAAUUAAAAUUAAAAUAUGGAAUAUUCAAAGGAUUUUCGUUAAAAUUUCUUGAGAUUUCUUAAGUAAAUUUUUGUGCAAAAUUAAAUCCUUUAAGUUUUAAAUUUUGAGAAAUUCACCGUCAAACUUAUUCAGCUAAAAUUCGAACUUUCCCUUUAACAUUUAAAUAUUCUUAUCAUGUCUAAUCACUUUUAUAAGAACUUCAGUUAAAACACAAAUUACUCUUUAAAAUGUCUCGCACCGAAGUACUUGUUAAAUAUUCUGUUUUAUUUUUCUGUUAAAAUGUUUUUUUUUUUCAUUAAUCAAUUCAACAAUUUUAAACCAAAAUUUUUUUAAGA